rnacentral:rRNA from 1 species
UAACGGGGCUAAACCAUGCACCGAAGCUGCGGCAGCGACGCUUAUGCGUUGUUGGGUAGGGGAGCGUUCUGUAAGCCUGUGAAGGUGUGCUGUGAGGUAUGCUGGAGGUAUCAGAAGUGCGAAUGCUGACAUAAGUAACGAUAAAGCGGGUGAAAAGCCCGCUCGCCGGAAGACCAAGGGUUCCUGUCCAACGUUAAUCGGGGCAGGGUGAGUCGACCCCUAAGGCGAGGCCGAAAGGCGUAGUCGAUGGGAAACAGGUUAAUAUUCCUGUACUUGGUGUUACUGCGAAGGGGGGACGGAGAAGGCUAUGUUGGCCGGGCGACGGUUGUCCCGGUUUAAGCGUGUAGGCUGGUUUUCCAGGCAAAUCCGGAAAAUCAAGGCCGAGGCGUGAUGACGAGGCACUACGGUGCUGAAGCAACAAAUGCCCUGCUUCCAGGAAAAGCCUCUAAGCAUCAGGUAACAUCAAAUCGUACCCCAAACCGACACAGGUGGUCAGGUAGAGAAUACCAAGGCGCUUGAGAGAACUCGGGUGAAGGAACUAGGCAAAAUGGUGCCGUAACUUCGGGAGAAGGCACGCUGAUACGUAGGUGAAGCGACUUGCUCGUGGAGCUGAAAUCAGUCGAAGAUACCAGCUGGCUGCAACUGUUUAUUAAAAACACAGCACUGUGCAAACACGAAAGUGGACGUAUACGGUGUGACGCCUGCCCGGUGCCGGAAGGUUAAUUGAUGGGGUUAGCGCAAGCGAAGCUCUUGAUCGAAGCCCCGGUAAACGGCGGCCGUAACUAUAACGGUCCUAAGGUAGCGAAAUUCCUUGUCGGGUAAGUUCCGACCUGCACGAAUGGCGUAAUGAUGGCCAGGCUGUCUCCACCCGAGACUCAGUGAAAUUGAACUCGCUGUGAAGAUGCAGUGUACCCGCGGCAAGACGGAAAGACCCCGUGAACCUUUACUAUAGCUUGACACUGAACAUUGAGCCUUGAUGUGUAGGAUAGGUGGGAGGCUUUGAAGUGUGGACGCCAGUCUGCAUGGAGCCGACCUUGAAAUACCACCCUUUAAUGUUUGAUGUUCUAACGUGGACCCGUGAUCCGGGUUGCGGACAGUGUCUGGUGGGUAGUUUGACUGGGGCGGUCUCCUCCUAAAGAGUAACGGAGGAGCACGAAGGUUGGCUAAUCCUGGUCGGACAUCAGGAGGUUAGUGCAAUGGCAUAAGCCAGCUUGACUGCGAGCGUGACGGCGCGAGCAGGUGCGAAAGCAGGUCAUAGUGAUCCGGUGGUUCUGAAUGGAAGGGCCAUCGCUCAACGGAUAAAAGGUACUCCGGGGAUAACAGGCUGAUACCGCCCAAGAGUUCAUAUCGACGGCGGUGUUUGGCACCUCGAUGUCGGCUCAUCACAUCCUGGGGCUGAAGUAGGUCCCAAGGGUAUGGCUGUUCGCCAUUUAAAGUGGUACGCGAGCUGGGUUUAGAACGUCGUGAGACAGUUCGGUCCCUAUCUGCCGUGGGCGCUGGAGAACUGAGGGGGGCUGCUCCUAGUACGAGAGGACCGGAGUGGACGCAUCACUGGUGUUCGGGUUGUCAUGCCAAUGGCACUGCCCGGUAGCUAAAUGCGGAAGAGAUAAGUGCUGAAAGCAUCUAAGCACGAAACUUGCCCCGAGAUGAGUUCUCCCUGACCCUUUAAGGGUCCUGAAGGAACGUUGAAGACGACGACGUUGAUAGGCCGGGUGUGUAAGCGCAGCGAUGCGUUGAGCUAACCGGUACUAAUGAACCGUGAGGCUUAACCUU